rnacentral:tRNA from 1 species
GCCCACGUAGCUCAGUCGGUAGAGCACGUCCUUGGUAAGGACGAGGUCGGCCGUUCGAUCCGGCUCGUGGGCC